CUUGCUCUGUCACCCAGGCUGGAGUGCAGUGGUGUGAUGUUGGCUCACUGCAACCUCUGCCUCCCAGGUUCAAGUGAUUCUCCUGCCUCAGCCUCCUGAGCAGCUGAGAUUACAGGAAUACACCACCACGCCCAGCUAAUUUUUUGUAUUUUAUUAGAGAUGGGGUUUCACCGUGUUGCCCAGGUUGGUCUCGAACUCCUGAGCUCAGGCAAUCCACCUGCCUCGGCCUCCCAGACUGCUUGGAUUACAGGCGUGAGCCACCAUGCCUGGCCGACAUUUUUAAUUCUAAAUGUUGUUUUGAAACCUAAGAGACAGGAUCUUGCCUUGUUGCCGAGGCUGGCCUUGAACUUGGCCUGAGCUCAAGCCAUUCUCCCACUUCAGCCUCUUGAGUAGCUGGGAUCAUAGGCAUGUGCCACCGUGGUCAGCAGCAGAGACUUUUUUCUUAAAAGACGACCAGAUUGGCUAGAAUCAUGGUAUCUUCAUGUCAGAAAGGGCCUCCUCUCCAGGGUUUGGAUAAAGAUUGAGGUGCACCCGGGGCUACACUAAAAGAGAUUUAGCCCCGCAUUUAGGUCAGGCGUGGUGGCUCAUGCCUAUAAUCCCAACACCUUGAGAGGCCAAGGUGGGUGGAUCAUUUGAGGUCAGAAGUUCGAGACCAGCCUGGCCAACAUGGUGAAACCCCC
rnacentral:lncRNA from 1 species